GUUCAGCCUCCAGUGGAGCUGGUUGGCUUUCUUAUGCGUGGAAGUGGGGAGAAGGCAGUUUUGUCUUUUUAGGAUGAAGGUUUGACCUAGAGGAAGUCAGCCCUGUGUCAACAAGGAGACACAUCCCCUGGCGGGAGCCACCAGGACAAUAGAGACUGACCCACAGUUUGUGCAGGAGUGACGAACCCCCUUGUAAGCAUUUGUAGCUUGCUUCUAGUUCGUGGGCUUUGUCACAAUUCUUCACAUGCUCCCCAAACCUAUGUAUCGGGAACAGUGUGGAGAUGGCCUUUCAUUUUUCUUCAUCUGGAUUCUUCAGCCCAAGCAUGAAGCUUAGCUUAGAAGGAAGAAAGCCUGGGGAGGGGAAGGUUGUUUGUUUUUUUUUUUCUUUUUAUACAUUUCCUGUGUUGAUUCCAAACUCAGGGAACACCCACCCUAAAAUCCUUUAGGUCACGGUGGGGUCAGGGUGAGGUACUUACAUAACUGGCGCUCACACACUGGAAGGCCUUUUCUGGAAAGCAUGUAGUCCUUUCACAUGGACAUAAGGAAAGGUUGGGCAGAUUUCUUGAUGAAGUCAAAAGAUUUAAAUUAAAAUUUGUGAAGCAA